GAUGAAGAACGCAGCGAAAUGCGAUAAGUAAUGUGAAUUGCAGAAUUCAGUGAAUCAUCGAAUCUUUGAACGCACAUUGCGCCCGCUGGUAUUCCGGGGGGCAUGCCUGUCCGAGCGUCAUUACAACCCUCAAGCUCAGCUUGGUGUUGGGCCCCGCCGCCCCGGCGGGCCCUAAAGUCAGUGGCGGUGCCGUCCGGCUCCGAGCGUAGUAAUUCUUCUCGCUCUGGAGGUCCGGUCGUGUGCUCGCCAGCAACCCCCAAUUUUUUUCAGGUUGACCUCGGAUCAGGUAGGGAUACCCGCUGAACUUAAGCAUAUCAAUAAGCGGAGGA
rnacentral:misc_RNA from 1 species